GAUGAACGCUGGCGGCGUGCCUAACACAUGCAAGUCGAACGGACUCAUACUGAAACCUAGUGAUCUAUGAGUUAGUGGCGGACGGGUGAGUAACGCGUGGAUAACCUGCCGUAUACCGGGGGAUAACACUUAGAAAUAGGUGCUAAUACCGCAUGAGCGCACAGCUCCGCAUGGGGCGGUGUGAAAAACUCCGGUGGUAUACGAUGGAUCCGCGUCUGAUUAGCCAGUUGGCGGGGUAACGGCCCACCAAAGCGACGAUCAGUAGCCGGCCUGAGAGGGUGAACGGCCACAUUGGGACUGAGACACGGCCCAG
rnacentral:rRNA from 1 species